rnacentral:lncRNA from 1 species
GGAACCUACUAAAUGUCGAAAUUAGUAAGCACUGGGAUGAUUAGGUCCUUCACUUUCUAUAGGUACUUCUUCAUAUUUUGCUCUUGCACCUCAAAAUCUCCCUUCACUUGCCCCAGCACCAAUUAGAAGUCACUGUAGAUCCUUAGUUUUUACACUAAGUUUUUUUGCAAUUCUUAAUCCAAGGAUGAAGGCUUCAUACUCAGCCUCAUUAUUGAUGGAAGAGAAGUUAAAUCACAGGGCAUAUUCGAUGACGAACCCUUCCGAUCCAAUCAGCAAUAAGCCUGCUCCCAACCUUGUAGAGUUUGAAGAUCCAUCCACAUGCAUGACCUAGUGCCCCUCAAGCUUGGUUUGCGACGGACUUUUGGAU